GUCACCGUUAAGUCCUCCGUCGCACCGAUCCGUCUAAAUCUGGGGAUUACCUGUGCACAUUAAACAAAAAGGGUGAGUUUACGUAACUCAAUGUGUAAUCCUGCCGAAAAAAACAAACAAUUAGUAUUCACAAUGCACAGUUGAACAGUCUUGGGCCUAAGACCUUUUCAGUAUCAGUGACAGUUUAGGCCUUAGCUCAUCUCAAUACAGUGUCAAAAAUGCAGUAGGGCCUUAGCCCAUCACAGUAUCAGUAGCAAAAUCCUACCCAUCCAGCCUCUCCGCACCAUCAC
rnacentral:lncRNA from 1 species